rnacentral:rRNA from 1 species
CCUACGGGAGGCUGCAGUCGAGAAUCUUCGGCAAUGGGCGCAAGCCUGACCGAGCGACGCCGCGUGCGGGACGAAGGCCGUUGUGUUGUAAACCGCUGUCAGGGGGGAGGAAAUGUCGGCCCUCAGGGUCGGCUUGACCUAUCCUCAGAGGAAGGACGGGCUAAGUUCGUGCCAGCAGCCGCGGUAAGACGAACCGUCCGAACGUUACUCGGAAUUACUGGGCUUAAAGGGUGCGUAGGCGGCUUUGCAAGUCGGAUGUGAAAUACCUCGGCUUAACCGAGGAACUGCAUUCGAAACUGUGAAGCUCGAGAGAGAUAGAGGUGAGCGGAACUUGGGGUGGAGCGGUGAAAUGCGUUGAUAUCCCAAGGAACACCGGAGGCGAAAGCGGCUCACUGGGUCUUUUCUGACGCUGAGGCACGAAAGCUAGGGGAGCAAACGGGAUUAGAUACCCGUGUAGUCCC